GUUAACUGAAAUAACAAAAGUACCAGAGAGGAGCGAGAAUGCAUAUUUACAGCAGGCUGUGAGUGUCUAAUCGCAUGGGUGAGGACCGUGAGGUAGAGGGUCGCUGUCACGGUGUCACCUACUCCUAUUCUUUUUUUCCUCAUACGAAUGCUUCUGCCGUGCUUUGCUCCCGACACUCGCUUGCCAGGUGCCACUCGAUCUAUGAAAUUGGGGGGCGGCGUUUGGCGGAGGCAUGUCCAUCUCCAUCGACGAUGGCAGAAGAGAGAGAAUCAGAGACUACACUGGUGGCCGGGAUCGAGAGCUCUCCUCUGAUGAUGGAGGUUCUCCUCGUGGCCACCUGCUGCGGUCGGGGCAGCUCGCGCGCUGGGAAAAAAGAGUGCAAGCAGGGGGAGGGAGCCAGGGAGGUCGUUGCGUGCCGACCGCUGGGAUCAAGGGCUCUCCGUUCACGAUGCGGUGCUGGUGAUUCUCCUCGUUUCUUUCUGCUGCAGCCUCGCGAGAUCGCGUGUGUGGUGGUGAAGAUCCAUCUUCGGGCAAGAUUCAGCACAGUGGGAAGUACAUGCGACUUAAUCUCGGCCAAGCUCAAGCUCCAGCAUUUGGGCACGCCCAAGCCUUGCUCCCCUAGGCACUGCUGCUCGCUGUCUUCCUCUCUGGAGAUCUCAAUGCAUCCAAGAAACUUCCUUCACCCAUGUUUUUGGUGAGUGCCUCAAAUUGAAGAUUGAUACCAUGAACACACUUGCAUGUAGUUCAGUUUAAUCUCCAGGCUGAACAACUAAAUUUUUGAAGAAAACAAUUGUUAGGCGCUGCACUUAUUCAGAAAAGGCACUAAUGAAUUUAUAGUUAAAAAGUUGAAUUUACAUCAUCUAGAGUUGAGCCUAAAUGUUGUAUAGAGGAUGAAUCUACUGCUGCCACACUCAUACUGGAUAGAUAUACAUGGUACUUGAGCAACCCUUCAUCCGAACCUGUCUAAUCUCGUAUUUGCCUAAAAAUUCGUUUUAUAUGUAGACAUUAAAUAAAAUGUUGGCAAUUGGGUUUUCUAUUCUCUUGAACCAGAAAUUUGAUAGCUGCUGGGUGCUUCAAUAAUAUUUUCUAGACUCCAUUUCAGUAUACCGACUGAGAAAAAUAUAAUGUGGGAAGUAUAUGUAGCUGGACAAACAUGUAUAUACGUGGCUAACAUCCACAAGGACCUGGUUUCUACGAUUCUACCCCAGCCCACCAAAUAUGUCUAUUAAGGUCCGUGUAAACUGUGAAGCUAUCUGCUGUAGUCUUAGAAGGAUUUGAGGCUUUUUAUUUGAGAUUAAAGAUGAGUAAUAUCUAGAGUAAAAUUAGACAUAUGAGGGAUGAGGCUAUAUCAUAAUGAAGCAAUAAACUGGGAACAACCAUGACAGAAAUCAUGAGGAGGCUCAACUGGCCGCUUACCAAGACGAAUUGUGCUCUUCCGAACAUCCGUAUCCAUAGAAGAAUGAGUAGCAGAAGGCUCCCCAGCAUGAUCAACAAAUGGAACGGAAAAACGCUGGACAUCAAAGCCAAUGAUAACAGCUAGUGUAGAAUCACCGAAUUGCGAAAGCAGGACAAACAAAGGCCCAGGCAGAGAAGUUGGACGUUGUCCAAGACCAGCAAACACGCUUGCCUACAAUUAAGCAUCUCACAAUAAAUAGGAAAGCAUGCCAAAACAUCAUUAAGAUAAAUAUUAAACUUGUACCUUGUAGUAAACCCAUAAAAGGUAGUACGAAAACCCUAGUCUACCUAGAUGGGAGAUUAAAGAGGAACAUCAAGCUGCAAAAUUAACAUGUAAUUUAAAUAGCUCUAUCGAAACAGUUUCAAACAGGAAACGAUAUGAAUAUAUAAAAUGAUGUAGUUGCUCACAAUAAUAUAGCAAACUAUUUAAUUGGUCUUAUUUCCCUAAAUCCACCUGCAUGUGUAUUAGACACAGUGAUCUGCUGAUGACAUGCAAUAAGAGAGAACCUAAAAAAAUUAAGCUAAAGACAGUAUACACUAAUGUUUUUCUUGAUGUUAUUUCCAUUUAUGGAUAACCUAAAAUACGAAGAUCAUCACAGGGACCAUAAGUACAUUCAACAACCUAGUUCUAACCGCUGUCAGGAGGGAGCAAAUUUGAUGUUGGAGAAAUUGUUUUUUCAUGCCGAUGCUGAAAAUAGUAAUUUUCAUUGCGGUGGCAGAAAAAAGGCAUGUGAGCACUUAUUCAAGAAGGAGCUUUGUAGACCAUGCAAAUACUAUAGUGUGAACCUGAUAUUGCAUUACCACUUCGUGGGACUAUAGAUAACCGAUUUUUUCUAGAGAAGGUCAUCAAGUAAUUUUACUGCUAUAUGAACACAUAAAUAACUUUAAAAUGGGAUAUGUCCUAAUUUUGUAGCAUACCAUGAUCUCAUUCUUGUAGUUGCCCCUAGCGACAAUCCUGUGAGAAAGCUCUCCAUGAUUGCACAACUGCUCUUCUGACCAUGCUCUUUGCUUUGGUCUACAUGGAGUUGCUCCAUGGCAACAUGCAUACUACCCUAAUGAGAUCAAAUCAAUGUGUGAGCACCUGCACUGAAAAUCUUACCUAGCCUAGCAUGCCAGCAGAUACCCGCUUAGUUCAAGUAGUAGUAUUCAGUGAUAAUUUUCAGCAGAAAAUGAACAGCAAAAAUGAAAGCAAAAAAUACAGGAUUUAUGUUCAUCUCAAUUAAUUACCUCACUCUACCAA